rnacentral:rRNA from 1 species
CCUACGGGAGGCAGCAGUGGGGAAUAUUGGGCAAUGGAGGAAACUCUGACCCAGCAACGCCGCGUGAAUGAUGAAGGUCUUCUGAUUGUAAAGUUCUUUUCUAAGGGAAGAAGAAAGUGACGCUAGCUUACUAAUAAGCCUCGGCUAACUACGUGCCAGCAGCUGCCUGACUACGUAGGAGGCGAGCGUUAUCCGGAAUGACUGGGCGUAAAGGGUGAGUAGGUGGUUUGGCAAGUUAGUAGCGUAACUCCAAGGCUCAACCUUGGAACUACUACUAAAACUGUUGGACUUGAGUGCAGGAGAGGUAAGCGGAAUUCCGGGUGUAGCGGUGGAAUGCGUAGAUAUUAGGAAGAACACCAAUGGCGAAGGCAGGUUGCUGGACUGAAACUGACACUGAGGCACGAAAGCGUGGGGAGCAAACAGGAUUAGAUACCCGUGUAGUC